CCUACGGGAGGCAGCAGUGGGGAAUAUUGCACAAUGGGGGAAACCCUGAUGCAGCGACGCCGCGUGAGUGAAGAAGUAAUUCGUUACGUAAAGCUCUAUCAGGAGGGAAGAAAAUGACGGUAUAUGAGUAAGAAGCCCCGGCUAACUACGUGCCAGCAGCCGCGGUAAUACGUAGGGGGCAAGCGUUAUCCGGAUUUACUGGGUGUAAAGGGAGCGUAGACGGUGAGCCAAGUCUGAGGUGAAAUGCCGCAGCUUAACUGCGGAACUGCAUUUGAAACUGGCGAACUAGAGUGUGGGAGGGGUAAGCGGAAUUCCUAGUGUAGCGGUGAAAUGCGUAGAUAUUAGGAAGAACACCAGUGGCGAAGGCGGAUUACUGGACCGUAACUGACGUUGAGGCUCGAAAGCGUGGGGAGCAAACAGGAUUAGAUACCCCUGUAGUC
rnacentral:rRNA from 1 species